rnacentral:misc_RNA from 1 species
AACUUUCAGCAAUGGAUCUCUUGGUUCUGGCAUCGAUGAAGAACGCAGCGAAAUGCGAUAAGUAGGGUGAAUUGCAGAAUUCAGUGAAUCAUCGAAUCUUUGAACGCACAUUGCGCCCCUUGGUAUCCCGAGUGGCAUGCCUGUUCGAGCGUCAUUUCACCACUCAAGCCUGGCUUGGUGUUGGGCGACGUCCCCUUUGGGGACGCGCCUCGAAACGCUCGGCGGCGCGGCACCGGCUUUAAGCGUAGCAGAAUCUUACGCUUUGAAGGUCGGGGCCCCGUCUGCCGGAAGACCUACUCGAAAGGUUGACCUCGGAUCAGGCAGGGAUACCCGCUGAACUUAAGCAUAUCAAUAAGCGGAGGCU